UCAGCCCAAUAUUCAUCCUCUUCCCCAGUGCCCACACCUACCCCUCUCUCUCGUGCGAUUACCCCAACCAGACCCAAAAAAAAUUCCCCAUCUGAGGCUGGCGCGAGGUCCUCCCUCUCAGGCGGAGGCCGGUGCUUCUCCGUACGCGCAGCAGACUCGACGGCUGAACCAGGGUCCUUGUUUAUUGAGAGCAUGAGGCUGAGUGACAUUGAGAAAGCCAUUAACGUCGAGAAGCUUUGAGCCGAGUUUCUUAAAGUUCUUCCUAGCAGACGACGUAUCGAAGUGAGCAUUGGAUGUUGAUAUUAUUGGUGCCCGACUCUUAUUGGUUAUGUUUCAUAGAUCCUAAAAACUCACACUUGAGUAAUCGACCUGAUAUUAGAGAAACGGUCACAUUGGCAUUUCAAACUUACUACAGGGCGAUAAGGAAAGAAAUUCCACCGAAGCUAAAAGUUCGACUCCCAACUUGUCUACAUCAACCGGAAGACACCGAAUGUGGAUAUUAUGUAAUGAAGAUGAUGAAAGAUUUAAUUCAAGCUUCGAAUCGGAAACACUUUUUGGCCGAGUUAAACGAUGCAAAGUAUACAGAAGAAGAAAUUGAUGAAGUGAAAGAGUAUUGGGCAAGUGAGAUGUUAUCGGUUAUUCAAACUUACCGACGUUAGUUGUUUUUUGUUUUAAUAGACCAAUAGUUAUUAUUUAAUUUUAUAGUUAUGGAUUUAUUAGUAUAAUGAACUAAUAUGUAAUAUUUAUUAAUUUUGUUGAUGUGAAUUAUUAUAAUGGUCUAAUUUAUAUAUUUUUUAUUUA